UAAAAUGGUUGAUAACUGGUGAAUACCUACUUAUAAAUAAUAGGGUUGCAUUAUUUCGAGUUUGCCGCUUGAAUCGACAUAUCUUCGACAUGAAAGGUGUGAUAUUGGUGACUUUUGCGUUGUUUUGCACUAUAUACACGGAAGAACAACGCGAAACGUGUAAAGGCGUAGCUUUUAAAUGUAUACCGCCACCUAAAUCUUGUCCGGUGAAUCAAACCUUAGUUCCUGGGACUUGCUCUUGUAGUUGCAAAACGUGCAAACCUCAACCGCAACUUUUUGGGGUUGGAUCAUCGUGUAUCAUCCUAUAUUAUCGAGGAAUGCCGACUUCAAACUGCAAUUACGGAUUAACGUGCUGCGACAAAGUUUGCGUUGAACCAAGACACUGUUGCUGAAUUUGUGUAUGUUUUGAUAUAUGGAGUUGAUACUUUUAAAUAAACUGUGUGUGUUUCAUUAUUAUUAAGUAGUUUAAAAGCUUUUAUAUGUACUGAAAAUGUAAGGUUAUGGAAUUAUUCACUAAUCAAACGCUAAGGGUACAUUUCUCUUAAUAAUAUACCGCAUAAUUACCUAUAAGGCUGAUAAAUUGCAUUGCAUAAAUUGAUGUCGUCUUACUAAGGAGCACUUCUAUUACAUGACUGGGUUAGGAGCAGACUUUUGGCAAUUUUGCAUUUGGUCAUUCUGCAUUAUUUAUAAACUGCGUUAACAGAUAUAUUGUACAUUGUAGGUAUAUCUAGUUGGUAAUUGUUUUUAAAUUAAAAAUACGAAAUAAACUUGCAAGGGUUCUUUUCGGCUCAAAUCUAUUAAUAUACUUGUAAAAACACAAGUAAAAUUAUGAGCACACCCUAUUUCUUUCAAGUAGUAUUAUUUUAAUGGCACAUAAAUAUUAAUUUAUACAUAUCUUCAUGAAACUUUUAUAUCAAAGAAAUAGCUUGGUGUCGAAUGUUUAGAAUAUAAAAUCAUGCAGUUUAAUUUAUCUUUGAUUAAGUUUAUAAAUUAUAAAUUUGUAUCUGAGACGUUCUUUUCAAAAAAUGUUAGCAUAAGGUCUGUUCGGUUUGACAAAACAAUUUUGUCCGUACUAAAAAAGAUCCCUUAGCUACAGCAACAAAAAAAAAUCUAAAUCGCAAAUAAACAAAUCUCGCUUGCAGUUUAAUCCUUAGGAAAAUAUUGACGUUUAUUAAAAUAACAUAAGCAGUGUUUUCGAAGCCAUCGUCAACAAUACCUUGUUUUGUAUAAAAGCGCAACUUAAGUAACUGGAGCGUGGAGUAAAUCGAGAUCAGCAGUUUUUUCAACAUGAAAAUCUACGUUUUAUUCUUGAUAAGUUGCGUAUAUCUUUGCCAAAUACACGCAAAAGAUGACGAGAUAAACUGCGAGGGAAUUGCGUUCCGUUGUAUACCGCCUCCAUCCUCCUGCCCCAAAAAUCAAACUUUGGUGCCGGGAACAUGUUCAUGUAGUUGUCUGUCGUGCCAACCCAUUCCGGCAGCCGGAGGUGUGGGAUCGCCAUGUCAAGGUUCAUCUUCCGUUUGCGCCGAAGGUCUGACAUGCUGCGAUAACGUCUGCGUUCAGUCGAGACAUUGUUGUUGAGUGACUUAUUUGUUGAUAAGGAUCAGUUUUCAGGAUAUAUAUAAUGUGUUGCUUAAACGCUUCAUUAUUUCUGUAAAUAAAUAAGUAAAUUUUGGAUUGAAAGCAUUUUAGUAAGCAGUUCCGCAACGUGGCAGUUUGGUAACUACGAGGUAAUUAUUGCAUAAUUUGUUUACUUGGUCACAAAAUGAAAUUUUAAAAUGAAUUUGCGUGAGUUCAAUUACUGCCAAUAGAAAAAUAAACAGAUAAGCGUUCUCUUAUCACCGUUGUAUGCGUGCAGGUGAAAAGUAUCGGAAAUUAGGUAAAAUCAAAAUAAUACUGCAUUAAGACCAAGUGGCUUAUUACCAGAAUUUUAGUUUGUAUUCUAUCCUAAUUGACAAUUUGUGAAACAUAUGCUUUCAAAAACAACGCUUACAGUUUUGAACUAAGGCGACUUUUAUGGGGAUUUAAUGAAUGAAAUUGAAACAAACGAUAUUCACAUUUUCAAGUAUUAUUUAAUGGUGUAUGACAGCUGUCUCGGCAAAACCGUGCCUUUAUCAUCUACAGAACGAUAGAAUAUUCCGACUUGUAUAAAUAUUAAAAGGUGAAUUUUGAAUUGAUAUUUAUUCACCCCUCGUUCGAUACAGUAGGUAUAUUUGUACUAAUCUCUUUCUUUUUUUCCAAAAGCGCAUUUUCUUAUUACUAUCGCGCAAUUUUUUAAGACUGAGGAGUACAAGUAAUUGUAAAAGAGAAGCCGUAAAAGUCGUUUCAUUUCGUUUCAUCAUUUUGUAUUGUUUCGCGUCAAAACAAUACGCUCCAGGUUGUGGAUAGUUUACCGCUAGUUUUGCUGGUUUUGAUACCGCAACACGGUAAGCUAAUAAUACCGAAGUAAAAUUAUUUAUUUAUCAUGGUAAAACGUUGUAAUCCACUGAAUAUUUAAGAACCCCCGAUAAAUUUUCGAUAAAGUUUAUUUUGUG